AGAGUUUGAUCCUGGCUCAGGACGAACGCUGGCGGCGUGCUUAACACAUGCAAGUCGAGCGGUAAGGCCCUUCGGGGUACACGAGCGGCGAACGGGUGAGUAACACGUGGGUAACCUGCCCUGUACUCUGGGAUAAGCCUUGGAAACGAGGUCUAAUACCGGAUACGACCUGGAAUCGCAUGAUUCUUGGUGGAAAGUUCCGGCGGUAUGGGAUGGACCCGCGGCCUAUCAGCUUGUUGGUGGGGUAAUGGCCUACCAAGGCGACGACGGGUAGCCGGCCUGAGAGGGUGAUCGGCCACACUGGGACUGAGACACGGCCCAGACUCCUACGGGAGGCAGCAGUGGGGAAUAUUGCACAAUGGGCGAAAGCCUGAUGCAGCGACGCCGCGUGAGGGAUGACGGCCUUCGGGUUGUAAACCUCUUUCAGCAGGGACGAAGCGCAAGUGACGGUACCUGCAGAAGAAGCACCGGCUAACUACGUGCCAGCAGCCGCGGUAAUACGUAGGGUGCGAGCGUUGUCCGGAAUUAUUGGGCGUAAAGAGCUCGUAGGCGGUUUGUCGCGUCGGCCGUGAAAACUUGGGGCUUAACCCCGAGCUUGCGGUCGAUACGGGCAGACUUGAGUUCGGCAGGGGAGACUGGAAUUCCUGGUGUAGCGGUGAAAUGCGCAGAUAUCAGGAGGAACACCGGUGGCGAAGGCGGGUCUCUGGGCCGAUACUGACGCUGAGGAGCGAAAGCGUGGGGAGCGAACAGGAUUAGAUACCCUAGUAGUCC
rnacentral:rRNA from 1 species